AAUCGAUGGGAGCUUGCUCCCUGAGAUUAGCGGCGGACGGGUGAGUAACACGUGGGCAACCUGCCUAUAAGACUGGGAUAACUUCGGGAAACCGGAGCUAAUACCGGAUACGUUCUUUUCUCGCAUGAGAGAAGAUGGAAAGACGGUUUACGCUGUCACUUAUAGAUGGGCCCGCGGCGCAUUAGCUAGUUGGUGAGGUAAUGGCUCACCAAGGCGACGAUGCGUAGCCGACCUGAGAGGGUGAUCGGCCACACUGGGACUGAGACACGGCCCAGACUCCUACGGGAGGCAGCAGUAGGGAAUCUUCCGCAAUGGACGAAAGUCUGACGGAGCAACGCCGCGUGAACGAAGAAGGCCUUCGGGUCGUAAAGUUCUGUUGUUAGGGAAGAACAAGUACCAGAGUAACUGCUGGUACCUUGACGGUACCUAACCAGAAAGCCACGGCUAACUACGUGCCAGCAGCCGCGGUAAUACGUAGGUGGCAAGCGUUGUCCGGAAUUAUUGGGCGUAAAGCGCGCGCAGGUGGUUCCUUAAGUCUGAUGUGAAAGCCCACGGCUCAACCGUGGAGGGUCAUUGGAAACUGGGGAACUUGAGUGCAGAAGAGGAAAGUGGAAUUCCAAGUGUAGCGGUGAAAUGCGUA
rnacentral:rRNA from 1 species